rnacentral:lncRNA from 1 species
UUAUUGUCUUGUACUCGUCCAUUAAUUCAUUGAAGGCAUCAUAUAAUUCAUCGAAAGUAAAAUCUAAAUGUGUUGCGGAUGUUACCUCAUUGUCGUUAGCCAUAAAACACAGAUUGGCCUUUUCUUCUUGUUCUUCAUCCGAUGAUGAUGAUGAUGUGUCGGAGUCCGAUAGGGUGGAGACGAGGACUUUCUUCUUCUUGUACUUGCUCCCCUUUUUCAGCAAAGGACACUCAGCUCUGAAGUGCCCGGGCUUCUUACACUCAUAACAUCCAAUCCCCUCAUUUUUCCUUUCCUUACCUUUAUCCUUGUGAUAGGAACUUGAGGGGCCUCUCCUUUGAUGUGAGGACUUCUUCCGGUUGAUGAAUCUUCUGAAUUUUCUUAC